CUUUUGGGUGUGACUGCGUACCUUUUGUAUAAUGGGUCAGCGACUUAUAUUCUGUAGCAAGGUUAACCGAAUAGGGGAGCCGGAGGGAAACCGAGUCUUAACCGGGCGUUAAGUUGCAGGGUAUAGACCCGAAACCCGGUGAUCUAGCCAUGGGCAGGUUGAAGGUUGGGUAACACUAACUGGAGGACCGAACCGACUAAUGUUGAAAAAUUAGCGGAUGACCUGUGGCUGGGGGUGAAAGGCCAAUCAAACCGGGAGAUAGCUGGUUCUCCCCGAAAGCUAUUUAGGUAGCGCCUCGUGAAUUCAUCUCCGGGGGUAGAGCACUGUUUCGGCUAGGGGGCCAUCCCGGCUUACCAACCCGAUGCAAACUGCGAAUACCGGAGAAUGUUAUCACGGGAGACACACGGCGGGUGCUAACGUCCGUCGUGAAGAGGGAAACAACCCAGACCGCCAGCUAAGGUCCCAAAGUCAUGGUUAAGUGGGAAACGAUGUGGGAAGGCCCAGACAGCCAGGAUGUUGGCUUAGAAGCAGCCAUCAUUUAAAGAAAGCGUAAUAGCUCACUGGUCGAGUCGGCCUGCGCGGAAGAUGUAACGGGGCUAAACCAU
rnacentral:rRNA from 1 species